rnacentral:rRNA from 1 species
ACAUGCAAGUCGAGGGGCAGCAUGAUUGAAGCUUGCUUCAAUUGAUGGCGACCGGCGCACGGGUGAGUAACGCGUAUCCAACCUUCCGUACACUCAGGGAUAGCCUUUCGAAAGAAAGAUUAAUACCCGAUGGUAUGAUGAGAUUGCAUGAUAGCAUCAUUAAAGAUUCAUCGGUGUACGAUGGGGAUGCGUUCCAUUAGGUAGUAGGCGGGGUAACGGCCCACCUAGCCUACGAUGGAUAGGGGUUCUGAGAGGAAGGUCCCCCACAUUGGAACUGAGACACGGUCCAAACUCCUACGGGAGGCAGCAGUGAGGAAUAUUGGUCAAUGGACGAGAGUCUGAACCAGCCAAGUAGCGUGAAGGAUGAAGGUCCUACGGAUUGUAAACUUCUUUUAUAAGGGAAUAAAACCUCCCACGUGUGGGAGCUUGUAUGUACCUUAUGAAUAAGCAUCGGCUAACUCCGUGCCAGCAGCCGCGGUAAUACGGAGGAUGCGAGCGUUAUCCGGAUUUAUUGGGUUUAAAGGGAGCGCAGACGGGUCGUUAAGUCAGCUGUGAAAGUUUGGGGCUCAACCUUAAAAUUGCAGUUGAUACUGGCGUCCUUGAGUGCGGUUGAGGUGUGCGGAAUUCGUGGUGUAGCGGUGAAAUGCUUAGAUAUCACGAAGAACUCCGAUUGCGAAGGCAGCACACUAAGCCGUAACUGACGUUCAUGCUCGAAAGUGUGGGUAUCAAACAGGAUUAGAUACCCUGGUAGUCCACACGGUAAACGAUGGAUACUCGCUGUUGGCGAUAUACAGUCAGCGGCUUAGCGAAAGCGUUAAGUAUCCCACCUGGGGAGUACGCCGGCAACGGUGAAACUCAAAGGAAUUGACGGGGGCCCGCACAAGCGGAGGAACAUGUGGUUUAAUUCGAUGAUACGCGAGGAACCUUACCCGGGCUUAA